UGCGUUUACAUACACGUUUGAAAUCGAUCUAUAUUAAUAGUUCGAUUUGGCCAAAGAUGAGAUUUAAUGGGACUAUUGUCGUUGUCCCAAUAUACAUGACUCAGAAAGAAUCGAUUUAUUGACCGAGGUGUGUCUGACGAAGACUUUCUUCUGGUUGACCUUUUGCGUCACAUAGUGGAACCAAAACAAAACAACAGGUAGCUAGUAGCUAGCGGCGCCCUUGUCGAACGGCGGACUUUUGUUGGUUUCCUCUGUGCUAUGUUGUCUGUGCCUGGAUUAAAGACACAAAAUGGACAACUUUACAGCACUGUACAUUUCAUACGUUCUAUACGCUUUAGUUUUGGUACAAAUGAUACGAGGUUCUUCCACCGUACAUGGAUCUGCUCAGGGCUUCUUAUAAAUCCUGCUUCCUCCAAUUUUGUCGCAACCUUUUUGAAUAGUUCGCCAUUCCGCAUUUUUCUUCCAUCCAUGUAUUUUAGGAUAUUUAACUCCUUUAGUUGCGAUAGCACGAAGUUGGUCUCCUCGUCCGUCCAGAAAUGUGUUUUUUUCGCCAUGAUACCUCCUCGACUAUGCGCUCGCUGUUCGAUUUCCGGGUUAAUUACCUGUCGCAGAGGAACCUCUAACCUUUCAGGACGUGCGCAGAACGCCUAGGCUAAUUUUUGGCCUAUUGAAGCAUGUAUAUGCCGUAGUAAGUCGACCCCAUCCCCAUUAUCUAGACACAAUCGCAGCCGACUCUGGUUGCAGGAUGAAGACUUCCAGGCUUUGGAGGGCACAGAGCUCGAAUGGACGGUGCUGUUCCCCUCACCUCUUCCCCCUGCGCCGCUGAACUCCCCCACAAGUGGGCAGAUCUGCCUGUCAAUCCACUGCAGAGUUUAUGGAUGGAUGACAAGAACCGGCUGUGGAAAUCUACUUUAAAAAUGGAUAUCAUGUUCUGUCCAGAAAUGAAACCAUCUCUGAGUCUUUGUAAAAGCGUCUGGUGCGUUCAGUAAGUUCCCUCUGUACUUCUGCUCCUUUGGGUGAUCUCAGCCCACAAGAGAUUUAUUUAAUCAGACAAAUGAAGACCGAAGA